GGUCCCGGGUCCCGGCCUCCGACUUGGGUCACAAGCGGUCCCGGGACGUCAGCGGCUCCGCGGGGAGGCUCCGGGCUCCGGACUCAGGCUGAAGUUGUCGCCGGCGAUGCCGCGUCCCUGCGGCUGCGGCUGCGGAAUCCAACCCGAGGAGUCGACGUCCGACAGUCGGCGGAGUCUGGCGGAGGGCGGCGGCUCUGCGGAGACUGUGGGCGAGCCCGGGGCCGUGGACGUGCGGGUGGAGUACUGCUCCGGGUGAGGGUUCCUGGCGCGUUUCUUGUUCCUCGCCACGGAGAUCAAGGAGCAGGUUCCAGACGCGCACGUUACGGGGUUCAUCGGGCAGAAAGAUCAUCGAGGCAGUGAAGGCAGCGAGAGAUGGCUUUGCGAUGAAGAGAAUUAUAUCCAAGGAGGAGAUUAUUAUCAAGAAGAGAAGUUGCAUUGUUCUCUAGCGGAUUCUGAAGAAGAUGACACCAGUUCACAGAUCCAGCUGGUGAAGCACGUUCUGUGGAUGAAGGUUUUCCCCUGAAGCUGGUGGGGAAAGCACGACUGGAAAUCAGAACAUGUGCUCCUCCUGUUUGCAAUCUGCUACGUACACUGUCAUUGGUCAGUCUGUUCUGCAUAGAGUGACCUACUCUAAUAUUGUCACUUCAUUAAAGUUCAUUUGUUAAAGUUUCCAAUUCCUAUGUUGAGCUGCAGGCCCACUGGCUGUGGCUUCAUCAGGCACAGCAGCUGGGAUGUAACAGUGGACUCGGCACAGUCCUCAGGACCAGCUCCCAGUAUCUCCUCCACAUCACUGACAUAUCCUGGCACACUGCUGGUGUGACGUGUUUCUCUGGUGCUAUUUUUUGGAUGACUAGAAUCAGCACAGGAGACCUUUUGGCCCAACUUAUCCAUGCUGGCCAAGUUGCCCAACUGUGCUUGUCCCAUUUGCCUGCGUUGGGCCCAGAUCCUUCAAAUCCUUUCCUAUCCAUGUGCCUGUCCAAAUGUCUUUUAAAUGUUGUAAUUGUACCCAUCUCUACCACUUCCUCUGGCAGCUCGUUCCACAUACCCCCCACCCUCUGUGUGAAAAACUUGCCCCUCAGGUCCCCUUUAAAUCUUUCCCCUCUCACCUUAAACCUGUGCCCUCCGGUUUUGGACUCCCCCACCCCGUUCACCUUAUCUGUGGACCUCAUGAUUUUAUAAACCUCCACAAGGUCACCCCUCAGCCUCCUUCACUCCAGGGAAAACAGUCCCAGCCUGUCCAGUCUCCCCUGAUAACUCAAACCCUCCAGUCCCAGUACCAUCCUAGUGAAUCUCUUCUGCAUCCUUUACAGCUUUUAAUGACACCCUUCAGAUAGCUGGGUGCCCAGAACUGCAGACAAUACUCAGUGUGGUCUCACCAACAACUUGUACAGUUGUAACAUGAUGUCCCAAUUGUUGUACUCGGUGCCCUGACUGAUGAAGGCCAGCGUGCCGAACACAGAAUGUCUACAUGUGUUUCCACUUUCAGAGAACUAUGUACUUGUACCCCAGGUCUCUCUGUUCUACAACGCUCUCCAGGGCCCU